AAUAUGGGACAAGGGGGGGAACCCUGAUCCAGCCAUGCCGCGUGUGUGAAGAAGGCCNNNUGGUUNUAAAGCACUUUAAGCGANGAGNAGGAGCUCUUGGUUAAUACCAUAGAUGCUUGGACGUUACUCGCAGAAUAAGCACCGGCUAACUCUGUGCCAGCAGCCGCGGUAAUACAGAGGGUGCAAUCGUUAAUCGGAUUUACUGGGCGUAAAGCGCGCGUAGGUAGCCAAUUAAGUCAAAUGUGAAAUCCCCGAGCUUAACUUGGGAAUUGCAUUCGAUACUGGUUGGCUAGAGUAUGGGAGAGGAUGGUAGAAUUCCAGGUGUAGCGGUGAAAUGCGUAGAGAUCUGGAGGAAUACCGAUGGCGAAGGCAGCCCCCUGGGAUAAUACUGACGCUCAGGUACGAAAGCGUGGGGAGCAAACA
rnacentral:rRNA from 1 species